UUUUUUAUCUCGCUCCUGCCUUUGUUAUAAUAGAUAAUCUACAGAAAAAAGCUAUGCCAUGCACUUCUUAAUGUGAAGACUUUCCCCUUGAAUGGGGUUCUCAUCAUGUUGGUUCUUCAGAAUUAAUCAUCCUCUGUCCUCAUGCUGUACCUUAUCAAAUUAAAACCAAAAAUAUCAAGACAAAGUCAGGCUAAAAAGAAAAAAAAUAAAAAAAAAAAAAAAGAAAGAGAAAGGAAACCCAAAACAAAAUAACGACAAAAUCUCUUUGCACCUGUAUUACAAGGUAAUUUAGACAUCUGCCCUUCAUUCUGCACAGAAGCAUCUGUGGCAGGAUGGGAAUACAGGAUCCCUCUCUGCAAAUACCCAGAGCAGUAACAACUUUCCGUUUUCUUUGUCUCUUAUGCCACUUGAGCUAAAUCAGCCAGAGCAAAGGAUGUAGAGCAGGUGAUAGUUCCCUCAGGACUAUCUAUGCUAGAAUCAUGGUAAUUGGCAAUGAAAGCAAUCAGUGAGUUCAGGUGCUUUCAGAGAGACCUCUAAAUGUCUCAGUGCUCUCCUUUGUCAUCCCCAGCAGCUGUAUAGCAAAAAUGGCUACCACAGAAACACAGCUCCUUCUGUUGGUGUUGUGGUUUCCUGUGCCUAAGUCCCCCAUUUCUUCAUUACACCGGCUGUAUAGGCAUUAGCCUUCUCUAACAGCCUUUCUGCACCAUGUCAUUCAGUAAUGGCUAGUAAUGCAAAGAGAUCUGGAAAAUCUGCUCACUGCGGACCCUGUAAGAGUUCCUGGUUUUCAGACUACACAAAGCAUUAAUGGUCUCCUAAGGAUGGAAGGAUUUCAUUGCAGAUGCUCCCAUGGAAAUUGUUAUCACUUUUCUAAUCUAAUUGUUCUUCCCUACAGUCUUGUACACAGACUUUUUCAGCAAGCACUAGGAUCAACUGAGCAUUUGGUAUACAGCUCAUUUUGCCCAUGCAAGUUAUGCAUUUCACCAAUUGGACAAGGCUAUUUCUCAACUCAGAGAAUCCAAUGUUUCAUCAGGUGCACCUGAACCCCUUUAUGACACAUACAAUAUGAAGAGCUAUAUAAAGAAUCUCUUAAAUACUUAAUUUAAAGUCAGCCCUUCUCUAUGUGUCAUUUAUGAAAGGAUAACACGUGGCAUGUGGACUUAUCAUUAGCCCAAGGUAACACAGGUUGUGACUUCUAAUUCUGUUCUCAGCCCUGCUACAGAGUUACUACAUGACCUUGCACAAAUCACUUAACCUUUAUAUGACUAAUUUUAUCCAUCUAUAAAAUAGGGAUAGUAAAAUUUUUAGCUACACACAGCAGGAUGAUGAGAAUUAAUUAAUGCUGUUGAAAUCCCUGAGAAAGAAGACUUUAUAUACAGGACCUAAUUCCACAAGUAUUCACUCUCUGACUCUCUGUCUUGAGCAGCUAAUUCUAGCUGCACUAGUUUUUACGCUAAAAUUAAUGUAAAAAACUACCAUCUGGAUUUAUUAGCAUUGUUCAGAUUCACUGUGCUUAGAUAUGAAGCUCACACAAAACAUUCUAGAUAAUUCAAAAGAAAUUCAAGUGAUUCAUUACUAAUAUUAGUUGAAUAUCCACAUACAAAGAGUUUAAGCAACCAUGUUUGUGCAUUUAGAAUUUCAUAGCAGGGGCUCCAAGUAGCAUAUGCAAAAAUUGACAUCUGAUUAAAAGUUCCUGUCUGUGUUACUGGAGCUGCAAAAAACAAGCAGGUUAGGAAAUGCCCAUAUGCAUGUGGGAGAGUGUGCACUGCUCAUGUAGUUCUUCAGCUUUCCUUUUUUCAAGAUUUGACCCUAAAACUUCACUUCUUCUGGACUGUGGACCAAUUUUCCAAAAAUACAACCAAUAGGACUUUCAUUAGAAAACUCAAGUUGGAAAUGUGGUAUUAUGUCACCUACCAACAACUGGAACUUUAUGGCAUAUGACUAUUGUAAGACAUACAGCAAAAAUAACUAGCUAGUAUCUAUGUCUAGUAGCUGGGAUGAGCAGGGAGCAGUGCAGCAACAGUGGCCAACCUCACUUCUCUCUGCUACUAGCAUGCUGAUUUACAAUGGGCAGCCCAAAUCAGUUCUAAUCCAAUUUCAAUUCCCACAUAUUGAGACAUAACGAAAUCCUUGUAUGAUAUAGAACAACCAGUCUUCAAUAUUCUGAUCUGUUGUUUUACUUAAGCAUGCAAGGAUUUGCUCAAAACAAUUACUUUACUUCUUUUUACCAUUAAGGUGGAAUUUUCAAGUUAUUAUAAUUGUUGCAAACUUCAUCAGAUGAACAGUAUAUUCGUAUUCAAACCUGAAGAUCAAUCCAAAGUGACAGAGCUGUCAAGAAGGCAGAAAGAACCAGUCUUAUCUGUAGGUAUUAGUAAUAAAAUUGUUUUACCCUAGACUAGCAACAAACCAAGAGAUUUAAGGUUCAAGAUCAUGUCUGCUGUAACCUGAAGUACACCAUGGCAGGCCCUAACUCAAGUGCACUUUCAAAUUAACCUCAGAAGAUUCUUCAUCAUAAGGAAAAAUGAAUUCUAUAUGCAAUGGAAGUGAUUAACCUUGAAUAUUCAAAGUCAAGUUGAUCAGAAGGUGUGCAUGUGUGUGGGGGAGGGAUUCCGCAAUCUCCAAGGUGUUUGAAAAUUGAUAUAUCAUUGAGAAAAUAAAAUAAAUACAACUGUCUCCUUAGACUGCUGCUGCAAAACAUCCCAGCGUAUUUUGCUGUAAAAACCUUCUCUCUCUUAAAUGAUCAA